GGAUUAAGGCUUAGCUGUUGUUGUGUUGAAAAAUUAUUUUGCUAUUAUCAGAAUCAAUGACGGAAAGGAAAAGGGCUUCUGUAGUGGGUGCUUUGAUUAACAGAAAAAAUUAAAGGGGAUGGGAAAAAGUGGCCAAGGGAAAGAGAGACUGGAUGGUGAAAUGAAUUGAGAUUGUAAAAAAGGUAGAAAAGCAGUGAGGAAUUUGGUACCUUGAAUAGCAAUUUACUUGUGAAAAAAGCAGGCCUGCAAAAGGUGGAAAAGAAGGAAGAAAUGGCCAGAAUUGUUUGCCACAAGCUUUGGUCGCUGGUUUGAAAAUCUUUUCUUAGAAGUUGCCAUGUUGUAGGAGCUGGGAGCUUCCAUGAAAAGUGUGAAAUUCUAAUUUUAUGAAUAAAAUCUUUCUUAGAAAUAGGUCUAGAUGCUGCUUUUGCGGGGAUGGAAAUCACCACUGAAAUAUCAUCAAAUGUUCUGAUGCUUUCUGUCAACUCACUCUGAGUAGUUAUAAUAUUGUGCACUUGGUUAUGCAUUUUAAAGAUCCUAUCUUGUUUCUAGCUAUGCAAAGAUAAGGUCCUUGAUAGCCAUUCAUAUCUAUAAUGAAAUGUUGGUACAUUCAAGUUAGCUACAAUACCAUGACUGACUCUGCAGCAGAUUUAAUUUGCAGGUUUUAGCUUUUACUGAUUCCUUAGUUAUAAGAUUUAUGCCAUUAAUAACUAGUAAUUAAAUAAUGUUGUAGCUAGCUAGGAUUAUCCCAAGCUUUGUUAUACUGGACUUCCUCCAUGAUCUA
rnacentral:misc_RNA from 1 species